GGCCUAUUAGCUCAGUUGGUUAGAGCGUCGUGCUAAUAACGCGAAGAUCAGGUUCGAGACUGUAUGGGCCA
rnacentral:tRNA from 1 species